rnacentral:misc_RNA from 1 species
GAUGAAGAACGCAGCGAAAUGCGAUAAGUAGUGUGAAUUGCAGAAUUCAGUGAAUCAUCGAAUCUUUGAACGCACAUUGCGCCCUUUGGUAUUCCUUAGGGCAUGCCUGUUCGAGCGUCAUUUAAACCUUCAAGCUAAGCUUGGUGUUGGGUGACUGUCCGCCUCACGGCGGACUCGCCUCAAAAUUAUUGGCGGCCGGUACAUUGGCUUCGAGCGCAGCAGAAACGCGAACUCGGGCCCGUCGUAUUGGCUCCCAGAAGCUAUCUUCACAAUUUUGACCUCGGAUCAGGUAGGGAUACCCGCUGAACUUAAGCAUAGCAUAAGCGGAGGA